rnacentral:sRNA from 1 species
CAUGAGAUUUUGUUGAAUCUCAUGAAAUAUUGAUAAAAAUAUAUAGAUAUUUGUUUUACUAGCAUGUUUUCCAAAAAUACUACUUGAAUUUUUCAUACAGAUUUGGAUCUAAGAAACCGGUUUAUGAGUCACAUGAUUUGUGUGGUAAUUGUAGAACAUGAUGAUGGGUUACGAAAAAUAUCGAAAGAGAAAUAAGAGGAUAUGGAAGUGAAAGAGAUAUGCAAGAGUAGAAAGAAACAUGUGGCUCUUGAAAUCAAUAAAGGUGGAAGAAAUUGAGAAUUCUAAAUGACCAAAAGGGUUAGUGACUUUUUCUAUAGAGCUCUAUCCCAAUGUUGGAGGAAACAAGAAUCGUAGUGGCGGUGGAGUUGAAGAUGGUGUUGAUGAUGAUGGUACCAUGGUGGAAAGAUUAAGUUUGAGGUUUAACAAUGGUGGAGAGAGAAGGAUAAACAAAAGAGAGAAAGAAUGAAUGAAGGUUAUAUAUGUCAUUUUUAUGUAGUUCAUAGUUAGUUUCUUAAUCUUUUCAAGUAAAAUGUUAGUUUAUGUAUAUAUACUCUACUUUUUCUUUUGUAUAAUAUACCUUGGGACAAUUUUUAUAACUUAAGAAAUUAAAAUUUUAAGUUAUAUUUAUUUUGUUAAU